CUUAACAGGAUUUGAUACCCUGGUAGUCCACGCCGUAAACGAUGUCGACUUGGAGGUUGUGCCCUUGAGGCGUGGCUUCCGGAGCUAACGCGUUAAGUCGACCGCCUGGGGAGUACGGCCGCAAGGUUAAAACUCAAAUGAAUUGACGGGGGCCCGCACAAGCGGUGGAGCAUGUGGUUUAAUUCGAUGCAACGCGAAGAACCUUACCUACUCUUGACAUCCAGAGAACUUUCCAGAGAUGGAUUGGUGCCUUCGGGAACUCUGAGACAGGUGCUGCAUGGCUGUCGUCAGCUCGUGUUGUGAAAUGUUGGGUUAAGUCCCGCAACGAGCGCAACCCUUAUCCUUUGUUGCCAGCGGUUAGGCCGGGAACUCAAAGGAGACUGCCAGUGAUAAACUGGAGGAAGGUGGGGAAUGACGUAA
rnacentral:rRNA from 1 species